rnacentral:rRNA from 1 species
UACGUAGGUGGCGAGCGUUGUCCGGAAUUACUGGGUGUAAAGGGCGUGUAGGCGGGGAUGUAAGUCAGAUGUGAAAGCCCAGAGCUUAACUCUGGGACUGCAUCUGAAACUAUGUCUCUUGAGUGCUGGAGAGGAAAGCGGAAUUCCUAGUGUAGCGGUGAAAUGCGUAGAUAUUAGGAGGAACACCAGUGGCGAAGGCGGCUUUCUGGACAGUAACUGACGCUGAGGCGCGAAAGCGUGGGGAGCAAAC